GACGUAGGGCGCGAGCGUUGUCCGGAUUUAUUGGGCGUAAAGAGCUCGUAGGCGGCUUGUUGCGUCGACUGUGAAAACCCGCGGCUUAACUGCGGGCUUGCAGUUGAUACGGGCAGACUAGAGUGCGGUAGGGGAGACUGGAAUUCCUGGUGUAGCGGUGGAAUGCGCAGAUAUCAGGAGGAACACCGAUGGCGAAGGCAGGUCUCUGGGCCGCAACUGACGCUGAGGAGCGAAAGCAUGGGGAGCGAACAGG
rnacentral:rRNA from 1 species